GGGGUCCCCCUCUGCUCUGUGGAAGCUUUGUUCUUUUGCUCUUUGCAAUAAAUCUUGCUACUGCUCACUCUUUGGGUCCACACUGCCUUCAUGAGCUGUAACACUCACCGCGAAGGUCUGCAGCUUCACUCCUGAGCCAGCGAGACCACGAACCCACCAGAAGGAAGAAACUCCGAACACAUCUGAAUAUCAGAAGGAAGAAACUCUGGACACACAGCCUUUUAAGAACUGUAACACUCACCGCAAGGGUCCGCGGCUUCAUUCUUGAAGUCAGUGAGACCAAGGACCCACCAAUUCCGGACACACUAGGAUGGUCUCUAUCUCUUGACCUCGUGAUCCGCCCUGCUCAGCCUCCCAAAGUGCUGGGAUUACAGGUAUGAGCCACCGUGCCGAGACUUGAUUACAUUUUUAUAGGAAGACAGCUACGUUAGUCUUUGAACCGAAGAUAUAUUUGUUUUUCUACUGUUUCCAACCGAUCUGACCAAAUAGAAAUCUGCUUCAGUAUGUAUUUAAACUAGUCUGAAAAUCCCUUUCUGAACCUCAAACUCUGUAAAUUCUUAAAAUACAAAAGUUACAUUCUAGCAGGCCUGUACUAACAUUUUAGUGUGAAAGAAUAAGGUUGUUAAUAACAACAAUAAGAGUAAAAUUUAAGAGGAAUUGAUAACAAGCAUUCUAAUAACUCUGAAAAGAUAUUGUGAAUGUCACUCAUCCCUGCACUCUUAAUUUCCUAGGCAAUUGUCUCUUUACUUGCUAUAGUUUUCUUUGUAUAAAUAACAUAGCGCUAGUAUAAUUUGGUUUACUGAUAGGAUUAAAAUGUAAAGAUAUGUUUAAAUUGAACUAGCAAGAAGACACAAUAUAGUUUUUAGGCUAGUCAUUCAACUGCUGAAUUACAGAAUUGAAAUUUUGAUGAGUCUCUGUUAUCGUUAAACUGCCAUCAAUUGGU
rnacentral:lncRNA from 1 species